UACAGAGGUCUCAAGCGUUGUUCGGAUUCAUUGGGCGUAAAGGGUGCGUAGGCGGUGCAGAAAGUCGGGUGUGAAAUCCUCCAGCUCAACUGGAGAAUUGCGCCCGAAACUGCUGUGCUUGAGAAAGAUAGAGGUACGCGGAACUUAGGGUGGAGCGGUGAAAUGCGUUGAUAUCCUAAGGAACACCGGUGGCGAAAGCGGCGUACUGGGUCUUUUCUGACGCUGAGGCACGAAAGCCAGGGUAGCGAACGGG
rnacentral:rRNA from 1 species